rnacentral:tRNA from 1 species
CCCAACCUAAAGCAGCCUGGAGUGCUCGCCGGGCUCAUAACCCGGAGGUCCUAGGUUCAAAUCCUAGCCCCGCUA